rfam:Paracoccus contaminans strain RKI 16-01929T=LMG 29738T=CCM 8701T=CIP 111112T, complete genome.
GGUUCGGGAGCAGGGCGGUGGGACGCCCGGCACGAAUGGAACCGCGCCCCUGAUGUUCGCAAGCACGCCCGGAUCGGGCCCCGACGAUCCCCGGC